AUUGAACGCUGGCGGCAGGCCUAACACAUGCAAGUCGAGCGGAUGAAGGGAGCUUGCUCCUGGAUUCAGCGGCGGACGGGUGAGUAAUGCCUAGGAAUCUGCCUGGUAGUGGGGGAUAACGUCCGGAAACGGGCGCUAAUACCGCAUACGUCCUGAGGGAGAAAGUGGGGGAUCUUCGGACCUCACGCUAUCAGAUGAGCCUAGGUCGGAUUAGCUAGUUGGUGGGGUAAAGGCCUACCAAGGCGACGAUCCGUAACUGGUCUGAGAGGAUGAUCAGUCACACUGGAACUGAGACACGGUCCAGACUCCUACGGGAGGCAGCAGUGGGGAAUAUUGGACAAAGGGCGAAAGCCUGAUCCAGCCAUGCCGCGUGUGUGAAGAAGGUCUUCGGAUUGUAAAGCACUUUAAGUUGGGAGGGAGGGCAGUAAGUUAAUACCUUGCUGUUUUGACGUUACCAACAGAAUAAGCACCGGCUAACUUCGUG
rnacentral:rRNA from 1 species